GACGAACGCUGGCGGCGUGCUUAACACAUGCAAGUCGAACGGAAAGGCCCUGCUUUUGUGGGGUGCUCGAGUGGCGAACGGGUGAGUAACACGUGAGUAACCUGCCCUUGACUUUGGGAUAACUUCAGGAAACUGGGGCUAAUACCGGAUAGGAGCUCCUGCUGCAUGGUGGGGGUUGGAAAGUUUCGGCGGUUGGGGAUGGGCUCGCGGCUUAUCAGCUUGUUGGUGGGGUAGUGGCUUACCAAGGCUUUGACGGGUAGCCGGCCUGAGAGGGUGACCGGCCACAGUGGGACUGAGAUACGGCCCAGACUCCUACGGGAGGCAGCAGUGGGGAAUACUGCACAAUGGGCGGAAGCCUGAUGCAGCAACGCCGCGUGCGGGAUGACGGCCUUCGGGUUGUAAACCGCUUUCGCCUGUGACGAAGCGUGAGUGACGGUAAUGGGUAAAGAAGCACCGGCUAACUACGUG
rnacentral:rRNA from 1 species